GGGCUUGUACUGGUUUCGACGGGGGUUUCGAAGUCGAGGCAGCCAUCCGCAGCCCCGUACUGCGCUAAAAACGGGAACUUAUAAAUUUAGCUGACAACAAUACAGUUGCAGUAGCGGCCUGAGCCGCUCGUCGGCCCGGUUGUACCCGUACUUCCGGUAACCGGCGUCAUGAUUACGGGAAACGACACUGGCUAAGCUUUGCGUCAGCGGGCGUACGAUGAAGCUACUGAGCACAGGAGGCUGCUGUUUGCCGCCUGUGUGAGGGAAUGUAAAUAAGCAGCUGUGAUGGAAGAUACCUCUGCGGACAGGCUUUCGGACGCGGGUUCGAUUCCCGCCAGGUCCAU
rnacentral:tmRNA from 1 species